UGGAAGAACUGGUACGUAACCAUUCAAAGAAAUUCUACGACUUGUUUGAAGGUGCAAAAAAUCCAUUAUACGAUGGUUGUCGUGAAGGUCAGUCGCAGUUAUCCUUAGCUGCUCGGAUGAUGCAAAAUAAGUUGGAGUAUAAUAUGAGUGAAAAGUGUGUGGAUUCAGUUUGCGAAAUGUUUACAGAUUUUUUACCAGAAGGAAACCAGGCAACAGGUUCACAUUACCAGACCAAAAAAUUGAUGCGCAAUUUAGGCCUUCCGUAUCAUACAAUUGAUGUUUGUGUUAACAAUUGUAUGCUUUUCUGGAAAGAAGACGAAAAGGAAGAUCAAUGUCGGUUUUGUGGUUCACAAAGAUGGAAGCCUAAGGAUGAUCGUCGAAGAACCAAGGUACCAUAUAGUCGGAUGUGGUAUCUACCUAUUGGUGACCGAUUAAAAAGAAUGUAUCAGAGCCAGAAGACAGCAGCGGCAAUGCGAUGGCAUGCCGAGCACCAAUCAAAGGAUGGAGAAAUGUUUCAUCCUUCAGAUGCGGCGGAGUGGAGAUAUUCCAAGAGCAAAAUCCCCGGUUUGCAGAAGAACCCUGUAACGUUUAUCUUGGAUUAUGUACCGAUGGGUUCAAUCCAUUUGGCAUGUCUCGUAAUCAUUCGUUGUGGCCUGUGAUCCUGACUCCAUAUAAUUUACCCCCCCCCCCCGGGUAUGUGCAUGAAUACAGAGUACUUGUUUCUUACAAUUCUGAAUUCUGGGCCAAAUCAUCCGCGAUCUAGUCUGGAUGUCUUUCUCCAACCUCUUAUUGAAGAGUUAAAAGAGUUGUGGUCUACUGGAGUUGAUGCAUACGAUGUGUCAUUGAAUCAAAAUUUCAAUCUAAAAGCAGUGCUACUGUGGACGAUAAGUGAUUUUCCGGUGUAUAACAUGUUAUCAAGAUGGACCACACAUGGUAAACUCUCUUGUCCGACUUGCAUGGAUAGUACGAAGUCUUUUUAUUUACCUAAUGGAAGGAAGACAUGUUGGUUUGAUUGUCACCGAAGAUUUCUUCUUCAUGGUCAUCCACUAUGAAGGAACAAAAAAGACUUCUUAAAAGGAAGAGACGCUUCUAGAGAGUAUCCACCUGAGUCAUUGACAGGUGAGCAUGUUUAUUAUGAACGGUUGAAGGAAGUAAAUCCACCAAAAACCGAGGUUGGUGGUAACGGUCAUGAAAAGAAGAUGCCAGGCUAUGGGAAGGAGCAUAACUGGCACAAAGAAAGCAUAUUAUGGGAGCUACCUUACUGGAAGGACCUAAAUCUCAGACAAUAUAUUGAUGUGAUGCAUACAGAGAAGAAUUUCUUGGACAACAUCAUGAAUACUCUUAUGAGUGUGUAGGGUAAAUCAAAAGACAACAUCAUGUCAAGAUUGGAUAUAGAACAAUUUUGUUCUCGGCCAGACUUACAUAUUGAUAGUAAAGGUAAAGCUCCAUUCCCUGCAUAUGUAUUGACAGAAGCAGCCAAAACGAGUUUAUUGGAAUGUGUGAAACAUGCGGUUAAAUUUCCAGAUGGUUAUUCGUCAGAUUUGGCUAGUUGUGUUGAUAUGGAGAAUGGCAAGUUUUCAGGCAUGAAGAGUCAUGACUGCCAUGUGUUUAUGGAAUGGCUACUUCCAUUUAUCUUUGUUGAACUCCUAGACCAGAACGUUCACCUUGCAUUAUCAGGUACUAAUUACUUAUUAUAUAUAUAUGACAUGUAAAUAUGAUAAUACUUUAUAUAGAUAUAACACUUAUAAGUUUGAACAUGUUUUGCAGGGGUUGGAGCAUUUUUUAGGGACUUAUGUUCAAGAACUUUGCAAAAAAGUCGCGUUCAAAUUCUGAAACAGAACAUUGUUCUAAUCAUUUGCAACUUAGAAAAGAUCUUUCCACCAUCAUUUUUUGAUGUUAUGGAGCACCUACCUAUACAUCUCUCCCCUACGAAGCAGAAUUGGGAGGCCCUGUCCAAUAUAGGUGGAUUGGUCUUUGAUGUUGAGUUAUGAUGAGAGUUUGUAGUCACAGUAUCUGUUUUGCUUUCUAUUAUCUCCUUCUUUCUUCUUUUUAAGUGUCUCCGCCUAUUAUAACCUCCUUUCUUGUUUAUUGUUUCAUGUAUUUGGAGGUUUGAUCGCGACAAAGGAUCAAAACUGGUUCGGAAGAUUACUAAGGUGAAUAAGAACAAAUUCGAUGUUCCCUUCUACAGCUGGACCUGUGUGCCUCGGGACAAACAAGAGAGAUACUUCCUCGAGUUCGUGGUACAGUUAUUUGUCCUUUAGCCUUUCUAUUUAUGUUUACUUGUUUUUUUUCACUCACAUUAGCUCUUUCUUUUUUUGGUAGAAAACCCACACCUGGGAUCCCUUGAUAACAGGGACUAUGCAACAACAUUUCGAGGAAAUCUAUCAACGGAGAAUGAAGGACAUGGUCAGCGAUACGAGGACAGGUCGAGAGCGACCUGAGUGGAUUGGAACCACUCUCUGGAAAACAAUGACUGAUUACUGGGACACUGAAGAAGCAAAGGCAAGGAGUCAGACCUAUUCAAAUGUCCGUAUGUCUGACUGUAACGGUCUCGGGCCUCACAUCCACUUCUCAUGUCCAAAGUCAUUUCAAUAAGUAAAAGAUGAAUUGGAGGAGGAAUUGGGAAGACCGGUCAGUCUUGGUGAGGUAUUCAUCAAGACACAUAUAAGGCCUGAUGGUACUUAUGUUGAUCGGAAGGCGGAGAAGAUUGCUAAAACAUAUCACCAGAAUGUUCAAGAGAAGUUGUCUGAGCUCGAUGCUGAGGCUGAGGUUGCGGGUGAUACUUCUGCUGUUUCUGAUGGUGCUUCACGACCACGGGAGCUAACAACCGAAGAAUAUACAGCCAUCUUCCUUAAGGUUAUGAUUCAUUUUUUCCCAAAACACUCUCUCUAUAUUCUAUGAUUCUCUUUUGUAUCAUGCUCUAAUCUCUGGCUUUCCCUGACUUUGCAGUCUACUGAUAGGGAUUCAAGUGGAAAUUUUUAUGGAGUUGGAAACCUCAAAGACUGUCUGGUCAAUGGCAAGCGCAAGCAACCCGAUUCAUCUUCUUCUUUUGUGUCUCUGCAAGAACAAUUGAAGGAAGCUCAACGCAAGAUAGAAGAGCAGGCAGCGCGUGAGGCUGAGCAAUCUCGGGCUGUGGCUGAGCAGAAGGACAGGCUCGAGUAGUUGUCUCUGGUGGAGAAGUAUCUACGUCAAACAGAUCGGCACUUCCUCGACUUCAUGGCAAGUCAGUCUGCUAAAGAGCCAACCUCAGACCCUCUCUCAACAACUCUUCCCCUUGAUGAUACAACUACAACUCCAUCUCCAUCUGCUUUAUAGGUUGAGACGUCUUAACUCUUUUCUGAACUUAAACUCUACGCCUCUCUUUUCAGAACUUAAACUCUAUGCCUCUCUUUUCUGAACUUAAACUUUAUGCCUUAUGUUUCUGACUUUCUGUAGCUCUAUGGAACAAAAACUUAAUGUUGUUUUGGUUGGGUUUGAAUGGUUUUAGUUUCAGCUUAA